CGUGCUUACCAUGCAGUCGAACGGUGAACACGGAGCUUGCUCUGUGGGAUCAGUGGCGAACGGGUGAGUAACACGUGAGCAACCUGCCCCUGACUCUGGGAUAAGCGCUGGAAACGGCGUCUAAUACUGGAUACGAGUAGCGACCGCAUGGUCAGUUACUGGAAAGAUUUAUUGGUUGGGGAUGGGCUCGCGGCCUAUCAGCUUGUUGGUGAGGUAAUGGCUCACCAAGGCGUCGACGGGUAGCCGGCCUGAGAGGGUGACCGGCCACACUGGGACUGAGACACGGCCCAGACUCCUACGGGAGGCAGCAGUGGGGAAUAUUGCACAAUGGGCGCAAGCCUGAUGCAGCAACGCCGCGUGAGGGAUGACGGCCUUCGGGUUGUAAACCUCUUUUAGCAGGGAAGAAGCGAAAGUGACGGUACCUGCAGAAAAAGCGCCGGCUAACUACGUGCCAGCAGCCGCGGUAAUACGUAGGGCGCAAGCGUUAUCCGGAAUUAUUGGGCGUAAAGAGCUCGUAGGCGGUUUGUCGCGUCUGCUGUGAAAUCCGGAGGCUCAACCUCCGGCCUGCAGUGGGUACGGGCAGACUAGAGUGCGGUAGGGGGAGAUUGGAAUUCCUGGUGUAGCGGUGGAAUGCGCAGAUAUCAGGAGGAACACCGAUGGCGAAGGCAGAUCUCUGGGCCGUAACUGACGCUGAGGAGCGAAAGGGUGGGGAGCAAACAGGCUUAGAUACCCUGGUAGUCCACCCCGUAAACGUUGGGAACUAGUUGUGGGGUCCAUUCCACGGAUUCCGUGACGCAGCUAACGCAUUAAGUUCCCCGCCUGGGGGAGUACGGCCGCAAGGCUAAAACUCACAGGAAUUGACGGGGGACCCGCACAAGCGGCGGAGCAUGCGGAUUAAUUCGAUGCAACGCGAAGAACCUUACCAAGGCUUGACAUAUACGAGAACGGGCCAGAAAUGGUCAACUCUUUGGACACUCGUAAACAGGUGGUGGCAUGGGUUGUCGUCAGCUCGUGUCUUGAGAUGUUGGGGUUAAGUUCCCG
rnacentral:rRNA from 1 species